AACGAACGCUGGCGGCAUGCCUAACACAUGCAAGUCGAACGAGAUCUUCGGGUCUAGUGGCGCACGGGUGCGUAACGCGUGGGAAUCUGCCCUUUGGUUCGGAAUAACAGUUGGAAACGACUGCUAAUACCGGAUAAUGACGAAAGUCCAAAGAUUUAUCGCCAGAGGAUGAGCCCGCGUAGGAUUAGCUAGUUGGUGUGGUAAAGGCGCACCAAGGCGACGAUCCUUAGCUGGUCUGAGAGGAUGAUCAGCCACACUGGGACUGAGACACGGCCCAGACUCCUCCGGGAGGCAGCAGUGGGGAAUAUUGGACAAUGGGCGAAAGCCUGAUCCAGCAAUGCCGCGUGAGUGAUGAAGGCCUUAGGGUUGUAAAGCUCUUUUACCCGGGAUGAUAAUGACAGUACCGGGAGAAUAAGCUCCGGCUAACUCCGUGCCAGCCGCCGCGGUAAAAC
rnacentral:rRNA from 1 species